UGAGCUGAACCACUACUAUACACAAAAAUCCUAUAAAAAAUAAACAAACCAUUUGACCCACUAAGUAGAUGUGAUCGAACAGUAAAUAUCACCAAGUACCGCAAGGGAAAACCAUAAGCAAUAAACAGCAAAGAUUAACCCUUGUACCUUUCGCAUCAUGGUUUAGCAAGUCAACAGGACAAGAAGAAUCAAAGCCCAAUACCCCGAAACCAGAUGAGCUACUUCAGAGCAGCCAAUCGGGCCAACCCGUCCCUGUAGCAAAAGGGUGGGAAGACUUAAAAGUAGAGGUGAAACGCCUAACGAAUCUGGAGAUAGCUGGCUACCCAAAAAAGAAUCUAAGUUCUACUUUAGACCAAAUAUAAUCAAUUAUAUUCUAAAGAUAAUCAAUAGGGGUACAGCUCUAUUGAAACAGGAUACAACCUGAAUUUGAGAGGAAGCCCCACCCUACUAACCUGUAGGCCUUAAAGCAGCCACCUAACAAAAUAUCGUUAAAGAAUUUACAAAAAAAUACCAACCCAAAUAAAGAACUCCAAACAAACUAAAGGUAAACCCAUCCCCAUGGGUACUAUAAUGCUAAAACUAUUAAUAAGACACCCUCUCUACUACACACCCCUCAGCUAGAUACGGAUAAACCACUAGCAAUUAACAGACCACAAAAGGCAAUAAAAAAAUCAAUACACAUCCUUAUACAGACUGUGGCACCAACACAGGUGUGUUAAAAAGAAAGAUAAAAUAUUAUAAAAGGAACUCGGCAACCUAAGACCCCAACUGUUUAACAAAAACAUAACCUUUAGAUUAACAAAUAUUAAAGGCAAUGCCUGCCCAGUGAACAAUUAAACGGCCGCGGUACCCUAACCGUGCAAAGGUAGCGUAAUCAUUUGUCUAUUAAUUGUAGACCUGUAUGAAAGGAUAAAUGAGGGUCUAACUGUCUCUUAUAAUAAAUCAAUUAAACUGAUCUUCUAGUAAAAAAGCUAGAAUAAUCCCAUAAGACCAGAAGACCCUGUGAAGCUUAAACUAAAAUAUUAAACCAUAUAAUAUCUACUUUCGGUUGGGGCGACCUUGGAAAAAAAAAGAACUUCCAUAAUACUACGACCAUAAAUCAUACCAGCAGGCCUACAAGCCAUGUACGACCCAGCACAGCUGAUAAUUGAACCAAGUUACUCCAGGGAUAACAGCGCCAUCUUCUUCAAGAGCCCAUAUCAAAAAGAAGGUUUACGACCUCGAUGUUGGAUCAGGACAUCCUAAUGGUGCAACCGCUAUUAAAGGUUCGUUUGUUCAACGAUUAAUAGUCCUACGUGAUCU
rnacentral:rRNA from 1 species